GGUCAACUUACCAACGAAUUUCGAAAGAUUUUGAGUGGAAUAAUUGCUGAACAUUAUGUGUUUAACAAUCAAUCAAUCUGUGCUCCUAAAAAUCUCUUAAGAUAUUCAGGUUCUGUUUGAAUCUGAAAUUAAGGAAACAUAUUUCAAAAAAAUUUUUGCCAAGAAAUCAGGAGGUCUUUUAUACAGAAAAAUCUUUAAUUUAAAAGCCAAGGCAAAGGAGCAGUCUGCUGUUCAAUUUAGCGGCACUUCAAACGUGGAAAAUAUUGCCCGAAUCCAACUGAUUUGGACGAGGAUGAGCUGAACGCGAGUAAACAGUGGCUUAUGUUUAAUAUGGAACCACGAAAGAAGGUUGAUGAAAAGUGGCCUGUCGACGACUGCAUCACAUAGCAAGAUUAUUGAAGAAUUUCAUAUACUUAAGCAGGCAUUCGGACACGAAUUGAUUGUUGCAAACUACCAAAAAAUACAUUCUAAGGACGGUGACACAUUUGUUGUAAAAUGGCAAAAAUUUAAAACAGUGGUCCUCCCGCUUUUUUUGUCAAAAAUUAAAGAAGUCCAGAGUAUAAAUUUACUUUAAACAUUCUCUAAUCAAAGCGAAGCCGGCAACUGUUGGACCGCCAGGACUGGAUGUUGGUCUAAAGUAGACCAAUAAUUUGAUUGAUGCUUACAACAAAAACUUCUGAUAUCAAAUCAAAACACCUCUUAACGAGGUAAGGGGUCGUGUUUUCGCACCUUCAACAUACAAAUGUAACAUAUUCAUUUACUUGGCAAAAUUAAAGAGUGCGUUAUUGUUGUAAACUUAAACAUAUAUCACCUAAAUAAGUUAAGCGUAACUCAAGACAUAUCUAAAAACACGGAGCUAAAAAAAUUUCUUUAAAAAAAAUGUAUCCAUUUAAAAUAUUUUUCACUUCUUUUUCGUGAUCUGGGGGUCCAUUUCUACCAGGAACUACCAUCAUCCUUAAUUCCUUAAUUAAUACGCCACCAAGCCGCUAGGGGCGCUAUAGGCUAGUGGGCGCUGUAGGCCAAGUUGCGCUAUAGAAGAAAAAGAUAGGAAGCGCUAUUACUAGUCGUGUUAGUGAAAAAAGCAGAUCUUCGUUAAGCAUAUCUCCAUCCCUCCUGCACUCCUUUAAGCUGAAUAACGGGUAUCUAAUAAUCGAGGCCAUCGACUACAGCGUAUUCUUUUGUUUACAUUCAUAUGUGAACAGAGUAGCAGGUAUCUUGUGGUCGAGGCACUGGAC